GAUGAACGCUGGCGGCGUGCCUAAUACAUGCAAGUCGAGCGAACGGACGAGAAGCUUGCUUCUCUGCUGUUAGCGGCGGACGGGUGAGUAACACGUGGAUAACCUACCUAUAAGACUGGGAUAACUUCGGGAAACCGGAGCUAAUACCGGAUAAUAUUUUGAACGGCAGGGUUCAAAAGAGAAAGACGGUCUUGCUGUCACUUAUAGAUGGAUCCGCGCUGCAUUAGCUAGUUGGUAAGGUAACGGCUUACCAAGGCAACGAUGCAUAGCCGACCUGAGAGGGUGAUCAGCCACACUGGAACUGAGACACGGUCCAGACUCCUACGGGAGGCAGCAGUAGGGAAUCUUCCGCAAUGGGCGAAAGCCUGACGGAGCAACGCCGCGUGAGUGAUGAAGGUCUUCGGAUCGUAAAACUCUGUUAUUAGGGAAGAACAUAUGUGUAUGUAACUGUGCACAUCUUGACGGUACCUAAUCAGAAAGCCACGGCUAACUACGUG
rnacentral:rRNA from 1 species